CAAAACAAACAAAAAAAACCUCCAAACCCUAAGGCAAAGGCAACACCAAAACACCCAUCGAAAAACCAUCAACACCAUCAAACCUGCCAAAACCCCUAACAACAUCUCCUCAAUGUAACAUCCACCACCAACAGAGUUCAAUUAAGCACCCGAUAAGGACUUGUUGAUUCAAACGUUCAGAUUUGACCAUCAAUCAACUUCCGGUCUGUCGGAGAAGAAAAAUAUUCAUUAAAAAAAAGAAGAUUUGAUAUAUGGAACUUUCAUC
rnacentral:lncRNA from 1 species